AUUUUAUGAUGAGAAAUUUGUCAGUUCUGCUACUGAUGCAUGUUGAAGAAAAUUUUAUCACUGAAAAAU
rnacentral:snoRNA from 1 species